CCUUAUGUUCUUCAGAGGGAUGAUCCAGAACAUAAUUUGAAACAACAGUUGCAUUCACUACCAUCUUUGCUUAUAUGCUUCAGCUUUACAAUUUUUGAUCAUUUUCAUGUGUCAUCAUCGAGCCUUAUAGCAUCAAGCCUUAUGGAGAGAAACAUUGGGUAUGGCCGAGACGAGAUUGGUUUAGGUUCACCUUGCAACAACGAUGCAACGUUGGCAAUUUUGCAAUUUUCAGCCACUGAUUCCAUCAUUGCCAACAACUUGACAUUGUAACGGCCAUGGAUCUAUAGUAAUAAGCAGAGAGCAAACAAAAUACACAUAAAAGAAAAAAAAUGCUCAACAUAUAGCUGGUUGAUAUUAGCAAAAAGGAAAAAAAGAAAG